GCUGGGCGUGCUGGCACAAGCCUAUAAUCCCAGCAGCAUAGGAGGCUGAGGUAGGAGAAUUGCCAAGUUUGAGGCCAGCUUCAGCAACUUAGAUCCUGUCUCUA
rnacentral:sRNA from 1 species